rnacentral:rRNA from 1 species
GCAUGUCUAAGUAUAAGUGUUAUACAGCGAAACUGCGAAUGGCUCAUUAAAACAGUUAUAGUUUAUUUGAUAAUCGAAUUUACAUGGAUAACCGUGGUAAUUCUAGAGCUAAUACAUGCUGGUAGGCCCGACUUUUGCGGAAGGGCGGUAUUUAUUAGAUAACAAGCCAAUAUUCCUCUGGUCUAUUGUGGUGACUCAUAAUAACUGAUCGAAUCGCAAGGCCUUUGGCCGCGAUAAGUCAUUCAAGUUUCUGCCCCAUCAGCUUUCGAUGGUAGUGUAUUGGACUACCAUGGCGUUUACGGGUAACGGAGGAUUAGGGUUCGAUUCCGGAGAGGGAGCCUGAGAAACGGCUACCACAUCUAAGGAAGGCAGCAGGCGCGUAAAUUACCCAAUCCUGACUCAGGGAGGUAGUGACAAGAAAUAACGGACCGAGGCCUUCGGGCUUCGGGAUUGGAAUGAGCCGAAUUUACACCCCUUAGCGAAGAUCGAUUGGAGGGCAAGUCUGGUGCCAGCAGCCGCGGUAAUUCCAGCUCCAAUAGCGUAUAUUAAAGUUGUUGCAGUUAAAAAGCUCGUAGUUGGAUUUCUGGGAGGGUGCCGAUGUCCACUUAACGUGUGCGCAGCGGCGCCCUCUCAUCCUUCUGUUAGCGUCUCUUGGCAUUCAUUUGCUGGUGGCGGGCUCAGAUAUUUUACCUUGAGAAAAUUAGAGUGUUUCAGGCAGGCUAGGCCGGAAUACA